GACAGAGGUGCCGGGCGUUAGGCGGAAUCACUGGGCUUAAAGCGUGUGUAGGCGGACUUCUAAGUACCUUGUGAAAUCCCACGGCUCAACCGUGGAACUGCUUGGUAUACUGGUCGUCUUGAGCCAUCUAGGGGCUGUCGGAACAAAUGGUGGAGCGGUGAAAUGCGUAGAUAUCAUUUGGAACGCCAAAGGUGACAACAGACAGCUGGGGAUGUGCUGACGCUGAGCCACGAAAGCCAGGGGAGAGAACGGG
rnacentral:rRNA from 1 species